rnacentral:rRNA from 1 species
UACGUGGGGGGCAAGCGUUGUUCGGAAUUACUGGGCGUAAAGGGCUCGUAGGCGGCCUGUUAAGUCGGACGUGAAAUCCCCGGGCUCAACCCGGGAACUGCGUCCGAUACUGGCAGGCUUGAAUCCGGGAGAGGGAUGCGGAAUUCCAGGUGUAGCGGUGAAAUGCGUAGAUAUCUGGAGGAACACCGGUUGCGAAGGCGGCAGCCUGGACCGGAAUUGACGCUGAGGCGCGAAAGCCAGGGGAGCAAACGGG